GAAAAAGAAGGUGGAGGACACUGCGGCGACGAGGGUGGCGAGGUGGAGAAUAAUGAGCCGACAGUAAACCACACGGUGGCAGCGCUCACAACGGCACCUCGGCUUCGCCGGUGGUCGUCUAGUCGUCGGCACGGACGAUGAAGCCUCCAGGAAUGAAAAAACGACGUUAGCCAAACACCCUUCGACGUUGGCCGGCAGAUCCUCGACGCUGGCCGCUGCCGGUGGACGCCCUACGCCGCCGCGACCUUUGCCACUGUAGUCCCUACGACCUUGGGCACCACAAAAAACGACGAUGGUCGACAUUAAAAACGACCUUGACCGAGCCGCUUCUAAUCGGCGCCCGCCCCCACCGGCCGUUCGUGCCCGUCGCGCCCCCACCGGCCAUUCGUACCCGCGCUCGCGCCCCCACCGGCCGUUCGUACCUAACGCGCUCUGUCCGCCGCUCGUACCUCUAGAGGGAAAAAAAAGAAAAAAGAAGUGCGCACACACCUUCUCUCUUCUGCUGAGUUAGCGCGAAAGGUCUGGCAAAUAAACAUGUCCUAGGUUGCGGACCGUCGCCUGGCCGGCUUUGAAGCCGGCCACGCGGCCGCGGAUCGCAGCGGGAUUCAAAUAAAUGUUGGUUAAAGAACCGCCCGGGCGGCCAUCGCUUCGGAGAGAAUCCGGUAGAACCCGAAAGGGAUUUUUUUCCGGUAGAACCCGAGUCAAACGGUCCGGUUGAGGUCGCGUGCUAAUGUUUGGCUGCAGGCAAAACAGGCCUAAGACAGGUAAACCUAUCCCGUUAUCCUAGCAGACACCCCAACAGGACUCUACGCCACCUGCACAUGGGUUGGUCGCCUACGUAGGAAACCGAGGUAGGACAGGCGGUGCCGGUUUUUACGGGUAAAUAAGUAUAAAGUUACAAGUUCUGAUCAAACGUACAAGUUUAUAAUUAACAGACUUUUAUUUUUAUCAAAAUGUUGG
rnacentral:rRNA from 1 species